rnacentral:rRNA from 1 species
AUGAACGCUAGCGGGAGGCCUAACACAUGCAAGCCGAGCGGGAUUUGUUGGUUAGCUUGCUAACUAACAAUGAGAGCGGCGUACGGGUGCGUAGCACGUGUGCAACCUGCCUUUAUCUGGGGGAUAGCCUUUCGAAAGGAAGAUUAAUACCCCAUAACAUAUUGAUUGGCAUCAGUUAAUAUUGAAAGCUCCGGCGGAUAGAGAUGGGCACGCGUAAGAUUAGCUAGUUGGUGAGGUAACGGCUCACCAAGGCUGCGAUCUUUAGGGGGCCUGAGAGGGUGAUCCCCCACACUGGUACUGAGACACGGACCAGACUCCACGGGAGGCAGCAGUGAGGAAUAUUGGACAAUGGGUGAGAGCCUGAUCCAGCCAUCCCGCGUGAAGGACUAAGGACCUAUGGUUUGUAAACUUCUUUUAUACAGGGAUAAACCUACUCUCGUGAGGGUAGCUGAAGGUACUGUAUGAAUAAGCACCGGCUAACUCCGUG